AAAAGUGAUGUGGUGGAGUUGAGACUGGAGAAGAUUGUUUCCUGAAACUCUUAUUGACUUGAGCUGCAACGACCACAUUCCAGUCUGCUUAUAGAGGUGACUACUGUUGGACUGUUCUGACCCUUCAGGGUUUAUAGAGGUGACUACUGUUGGACUGUUCUGACCCUUCAGGGUUUAUAGAGGUCACUACUGUUGGCCUGUUCUGACCCUUCAGGGUUUAUAGAGGUGACUACUGUUGGACUGUUUUGACCCUUCAGGGUUUAUAGAGGUGACUACUGUUGGACUGUUCUGACCCUUCAGGGUUUAUAGAGGUGACUACUGUUGGCCUGUUCUGACCCUUCAGGGUUUAUAGAGGUCACUACUGUUGGCCUGUUCUGACCCUUCAGGGUUUAUAGAGGUGACUACUGUUGGACUGUUUUGACCCUUCAGGGUUUAUAGAGGUGACUACUGUUGGACUGUUCUGACCCUUCAGGGUUUAUAGAGGUGACUACUGUUGGCCUGUUCUGACCCUUCAGGGUUUAUAGAGGUGACUACUGUUGGACUGUUUUGACCCUUCAGGGUUUAUAGAGGUGACUACUGUUGGACUGUUUUGACCCUUCAGGGUUUAUAGAGGUGACUACUUUUGGACUGUUCUGACCCUUCAGGGUUUAUAGAGGUGACUACUGUUGGACUGUUCUGACCCUUCAGGGUUUAUAGAGGUGACUACUGUUGGACUGUUCUGACCCUUCAGGGUUUAUAGAGGUCACUACUGUUGGACUGUUCUGACCCUUCAGGGUUUAUAGAGGUCACUACUGUUGGACUGUUCUGACCCUUCAGGGUUUAUAGAGGUGACUACUGUUGGACUGUUCUGACCCUUCAGGGUUUAUAGAGGUGACUACUGUUGGACUGUUCUGACCCUUCAGGGUUUAUAGAGGUGACUACUGUUGGACUGUUCUGACCCUUCAGGGUUUAUAGAGGUGACUACUGUUGGACUGUUCUGACCCUUCAGGGUUUAUAGAGGUGACUACUGUUGGACUGUUCUGACCCUUCAGGGUUUAUAGAGGUCACUACUGUUCUGACCCUUCAGGGUUUAUAGAGGUCACUACUGUUCUGACCCUUCAGGGUUUAUAGAGGUCACUACUGUUGGACUGUUCUGACCCUUCAGGGUUUAUAGAGGUGACUACUGUUGGACUGUUCUGACCCUUCAGGGUUUAUAGAGGUGACUACUGUUGGACUGUUUUGACCCUUCAGGGUUUAUAGAGGUCACUACUGUUGGACUGUUUUGACCCUUCAGGGUUUAUAGAGGUGACUACUGUUGGACUGUUCUGACCCUUCAGGGUUUAUAGAGGUGACUACUGUUCUGACCCUUCAGGGUUUAUAGAGGUGACUACUGUUGGACUGUUCUGACCCUUCAGGGUUUAUAGAGGUGACUACUGUUCUGACCCUUCAGGGUUUAUAGAGGUCACUACUGUUGGACUGUUCUGACCCUUCAGGGUUUAUAGAGGUGACUACUGUUGGACUGUUCUGACCCUUCAGGGUUUAUAGAGGUGACUACUGUUGGACUGUUCUGACCCUUCAGGGUUUAUAGAGGUCACUACUGUUGGACUGUUCUGACCCUUCAGGGUUUAUAGAGGUGACUACUGUUCUGACCCUUCAGGGUUUAUAGAGGUGACUACUGUUGGACUGUUCUGACCCUUCAGGGUUUAUAGAGGUGACUACUGUUCUGACCCUUCAGGGUUUAUAGAGGUGACUACUGUUGGACUGUUCUGACCCUUCAGGGUUUAUAGAGGUCACUACUGUUGGACUGUUCUGACCCUUCAGGGUUUAUAGAGGUCACUACUGUUGGACUGUUCUGACCCUUCAGGGUUUAUAGAGGUGACUACUGUUCUGACCCUUCAGGGUUUAUAGAGGUGACUACUGUUGGACUGUUCUGACCCUUCAGGGUUUAUAGAGGUCACUACUGUUGGACUGUUCUGACCCUUCAGGGUUUAUAGAGGUCACUACUGUUGGACUGUUCUGACCCUUCAGGGUUUAUAGAGGUGACUACUGUUGGACUGUUCUGACCCUUCAGGGUUUAUAGAGGUGACUACUGUUGGACUGUUCUGACCCUUCAGGGUUUAUAGAGGUCACUACUGUUGGACUGUUCUGACCCUUCAGGGUUUAUAGAGGUGACUACUGUUCUGACCCUUCAGGGUUUAUAGAGGUCACUACUGUUGGACUGUUCUGACCCUUCAGGGUUUAUAGAGGUGACUACUGUUGGACUGUUCUGACCCUUCAGGGUUUAUAGAGGUGACUACUGUUGGACUGUUCUGACCCUUCAGGGUUUAUAGAGGUGACUACUGUUCUAACCCCCCAGCCAGAUUUUAGGGAACAUUUUAAAGGCCCCUUGGUGGUUUAGAGAAGUUUGUGGUUUUUAAGGCCUUUUUCUACAAUUCUACACAUUUUGCCAUGCAGCUGAGACCUCUUGCGGUUUUAAAUCAAAUGUCCAGCUAUGCUACAUAUUCUAAAACAGAUUUUAAGGAAAUGUU